rnacentral:rRNA from 1 species
UACGUAGGCAGCAAGCGUUGUUCGGAGUUACUGGGCGUAAAGGGUGCGUAGGCGGCUUGUCGCGUCUGCCGUGAAAGUCCGGGGCUCAACUCCGGAUCUGCGGUGGGUACGGGCAGACUAGAGUGAUGUAGGGGAGACUGGAAUUCCUGGUGUAGCGGUGAAAUGCGCAGAUAUCAGGAGGAACACCGGUGGCGAAGGCGGGUCUCUGGGCCGAUACUGACGCUGAGGAGCGAAAGCGUGGGGAGCGAACAGG